rnacentral:lncRNA from 1 species
AGUGAUGGAGAUCAUUGGAGGCGGUCAGCAGAGAUUGAGACCCUUAACAAUAAUGGGCAAUGUUGGCGAUCAUAGAAAAUGGUGAGCGAUGGCGGAAAUCAAUGACAGCGAUUAGCUUGAAACUGCAUCUUCAACAACCACGUGUUAUUAAAAAAAUUCGUGUGAUAAAAAUAUUCUAAGAAACUAUAGCAAGACAUGCAGUCAUUAUAGUUUUUGUCACUAUAUAAUUGGAUUAGUACUGCAAUAGCUAAUAUUUCCUCUUGGAUGUCUGUCGGAUUAUGUCACUAUUUGUUUCCUUCGACAGCAUUAAAACUAAGCUGCUGCA